rnacentral:rRNA from 1 species
GACAGAGGCCUCAAGCGUUAGGCGGAAUCACUGGGCUUAAAGCGUGUGUAGGCGGAUCGUUAAGUGUCUUGUGAAAUCCCACGGCUCACCCGUGGAACUGCUGGGCAUACUGGCGAUCUUGGCCAACUAGGGGCAACUGGAACAAGCGGUGGAGCGGUGAAAUGCGUAGAUAUCGCUUGGAACGCCGGAAGGUGAAAACAGGUUGCUGGGGUUGUGCCGACGCUGAGA